GAUAACCUGAAAUGCUCGAUAAAGUCUUGUUAUUUUGAACCUACAGAUACUUUAAACGGGAUUCCUACAUUGUCAUAUAGAUGUCAGGCCUCCAGCCUUUUGGGCAUUGCGCAGUGGAAGACAGAAGUAUGGUUGCGGUUACCCACCUAGCGUUGCUAGGAGUCAAAAUACAAGAUACGGCAUUUUGGGCGUAUA
rnacentral:other from 1 species